AUUGAACGCUGGCGGCAGGCCUAACACAUGCAAGUCGAACGAGUGGCGGACGGGUGAGUAAUGUAUGGGAAACUGCCUGAUGGAGGGGGAUCACUACUGGAAACGGUAGCUAAUACCGCAUACCAUCAGAUGGGCCCAGAUCGGAUUAGCUAGUUGGUGGGGUAACGGCUCACCAAGGCGACGAUCCCGAGCUGGUCUGAGAGGAGGACCAGCCACACUGUAACUGAGACACGGUCCAGACUCCUACGGGAGGCAGCAGUGGGGAAUAUUGCACAAUGGGCGAAAGCCUGAUGCAGCCAUGCCGCGUGUAUGGAGAAGGCCUUCGGGUUGUAAAGUACUUUCAGCGGGGAGGCGUUACCCGCAGAAGAAGCACCGGCUAACUCCGUGCCAGCAGCCGCGGUAAUAC
rnacentral:rRNA from 1 species